rnacentral:rRNA from 1 species
CAAUAGCGUAUAUUAAAGUUGUUGCAGUUAAAAAGCUCGUAGUCGGAUUUCGGGUUGGCGCGGUCGGUCUGCCGUUGGGUAUGCACUGACUGUCGCCUUCCUUUCCGGGGUAGAUCGUGCGUUUACUCGUGCGUUUCUCCUCGCGUUUACUUUGAGAAAAUCAGAGUGUUCAAAGCAGGCCUUUGCCAUUGUAUGUGUUAGCAUGGGAUAAUGGAAUAGGACUCUGGUGCUAUUUUGUUGGUUUCGAACGCCGGGGUAAUGAUUAAUAGGGACAGUCAGGGGCACUCGUAUUCCGUAGAGAGAGGUGAAAUUCUUAGACCCACGGAAGACGCACUACUGCGAAANCANNNGCCAGGGAUGUUUUCACNGA